UUCUGCAAUUGCCAUCCAAGUUGUUCUGCAAUGUAAAAACUUUCUUGAUAUUUAAUUAUAACUGUUUCAUUUUGUCAUCAUCGCCGAUUACAAAAAAAAAUAGUUAAAUAAAUAUAUUUUUUUAAAAAGUUAAUACAAAAAUAAUUGAAAGCAUAAAGUUAAUAUUUAAAUAAUCAAAACUUAGUUGAAUGUGCGUAGAAAAUAUUUAAAUAAAUAAAAAAUAUUAAAAUAAUUUUGGAGUACAUAAUAAAAAAUAAAUGAAACAGAUGGAAGUAGAAGUGAUACUAUAUAAAGAUUAAGACCAGCAAAAGUUGGUUGAACAGCAGCCGCAUGACCUAUGUAGCAUAUAGAUGCAGGAAAAGAAACAUAUACUAGAAGAAUAUAUAGAAGAAAGAUAAAGGAAAAUUCCUACUGUAUUUUUGAUUUCUUUCAUUUCUUUUCUGUCGCUCUUCUUCUGAUAUAAAUUAUACGUAAUCUUCUCUUUUGUAGGUACUCUAAUAGAUUUUUUUCAUAAUUUUUUAAAAAAUCAUAAAAAAGGCUACUUGGGUUACAAAAGGACAAUGUUACUUCACUAAAAGUGGUUGAUUUAAACAAAAGAGGUUGUUAGAUAAUGGAUAAACUACAGAGUGAAUGAAAUCCUUUGUC
rnacentral:lncRNA from 1 species